CUUUUUUUGCAUCCGUCAAUAACUGGCUGAUGCAUUUCAAGCAAGCUACAGCGCCGAAACUACCUCCAGAUAGUUAUUAUGGGCAUAACUUUGUAGCAAAUAAAUUACUUGAAAGCGUCGUACUAUUUACCGAUUAUUCCUUGGUUCUGGCCAGUUAUUAUUACAGCUAACAGCGAUGUGCUGUUCAGACUUUGGCUGAGUUCGAUGUCUUUCGACGGAUGCAGCUACUAUAGUGAUCUGGGCUGGAGCAGAUGUGUUGAUUUGUACUGGGCGCGACGAGCUGUAUGUCUUCAACACACAAGAACUGAAACUGACGUUCCUUAGUCCAGUGGAUCAUUUGGUGCGGAGUGAGGACAAGCAGUGUGUCUGUGCUGUCUGUGAGAGUGAUGGGGUGUACUGUGUCGAUCUACCAACUCUGCACCCCAGGUCUCCCACUCCCCCAGCUGACCAGUCCCCUGGCCCUGCUCUAUUCAAAAUGUUGUCUAAUUCGCUGGCAGCCAGAUACAAGGGUGUGUGUUCUCUGAUUGAGGUGGAGGGUCCGUCUCCCUGCGAGAUGCAGUCUGGGUGUUCACUUUCUAUAACGCUGCUGACCAACGGAAACUGACUGGAGUUUAGUCUACCUGUCAUUACUGUUGGUCACCAUGAUGACUCAGAAGAAAAUGACAGCGCAGGAGUGGUCAUGCAACCUGUGUUGGCUUGCGUUUACAGCAGUGAUACACCAACAUCUUCAACAACAACAACCACCAUUUUCAUCAUUAUCAUCAUCCUCACCUGGCGUUGGCCAUUUUCUCCUGGAGCCUCUCCUCUUCAAGCUCCUCUUCGGCGUCGAAGCUGCCCUCAUCAACUCCCCUAUGAUCCUUUGCAGCCUGCUUAAUGGGCGUCUCUGCUCCCUCCGGGAUGACCAGGCCUCCGUGUCAGAGUACUACACAGCCCAGAGCAGCCAAUCACUUUUAUUGUAACCUUAGCCAGAACAAAUGGUGGUCCACAGUGUUUGGUAUCAGUGGGCGACGGGGCAGGGUGGUGCUGGUUAGGACCUAUGAGGAGAGGCCGUAUGGGAGGAGUAAGGUAGCAAGCUUCAGGUAGGGGUGUGUGUCGCGGCAUGUGGUGUGUGUGUUUGUGCGCAGGCAGGAAAGGCCUGUACAAUAGCACCGGCUCAGAUACUCUAGCCCUGGAUCUCCCAGGGGAGCGAGAGGCAGCUCCAAGCCCAUGAGAGAGACUGAUGGUAGGCCACUGUGAGAGGCAAGACCAGGGUCAGGCCAUGGAUAGACCCAGAGAGUAUGCUGUCCUGUCAGCCUGAAUGUCUGCAUGGUCAUCAUCCUGGCUGGGCCCCUCACACAACGCCUCAGGUUGUGUGUGUGUGUUACAGGCACAGUGCAGCUGGUGGCGUUGUCUCUCAGAGGGAGGCUCCAGCUGUUGAGGUAACUGUAGGGGACACCAGUUUGAAGGAGGUUAAGGAGGCCGUGGAGGUGCAGUGUGUGGACUACACAUCAGCGGACUUGCCCUCCACAAUCACAAGACCUCAACCCAAUUGUGAUGAGUUGGACUGCAGAGUGAAGGAAACGCAGCCAACAAGUGCUCAGCAUAUGUGAGAACUCCUUCAAGACUGUUGGAAAAGCAUUCCAGGUGAAGCUGGUUGAGAGAAUGCCAAGAGUGCAAAGCUGUCAUCAAGGCAAAGGGUGGCUACUUUGAAGAAUCUCAAAUAUAUUUUGAUUUGAUUAAUGCUUUUUUGGUUACUACAUGAUUCCAUGUGUUAUUUCAUAGUUUUGCGGUCUUCACUAUUAUUCUACAAUAUAGAAAAUAGUAAAAAUAAAGAAAAAUCCUGGAAUGAGUAGGUGUGUCCAAAAUUUGGUUGCAAUUUCUAUUCCAAGAAAAACUAAAAACCCUCUGGGUUUCCAUUAGGAUGGAAUGGGAAAAUACGGUGAUGUACAACGUGACGGUUGGUUGUACAGUACUGGGCUAUUUAGCUGUGGUUGCCGCCAGUUGUUUUUUAAAUUUAACCUUUAUUUAACUUGGCAAGUCAGGUAAGAACAAAUUCUUAUUUACAAUGAAGGCCUACCCCGGCCAAACCCAGAUCGCGCUGGGCCAACUGUGCACAGCCCUAUGGCACUCCCAAUCCCGGUUGGAUGUGAUACAGCCUGAAUUCGAACCAGGGACUGUAGUAAAGCCUCUUGUACCGAGAUGCAGUGCCUUAGACCAUCCCACAUACACUCCUCAUCCAUAACUUCUUCAUUCUCUGACACUGGUACCAUCCCACAUACACUCCUCAUCCAUAACAUCCUCAUUCUCUGACACUGGUACCAUCCCACAUACACUCCUCAUCCAUAACAUCCUCAUUAUCUGACACUGGUACCAUCCCGCAUACACUCCUCAUCCAUAACAUCCUCAUUAUCUGACACUGGUACCAUCCCACAUACACUCCUCAUCCAUAACAUCCUCAUUCUCUGACACUGGUACCAUCCCACCUACUCCUCAUCCAUAACAUCCUCAUUCUCUGACACUGGUACCAUCCCACAUACGCUCCUCAUUAUCUGACACUGGUACCAUCCCACAUACGCUCCUCAUCCAUAACAUCCUCAUUCUCUGACACUGGUACCAUCCCACAUACGCUCCCCAUCCAUAACAUCCUCAUUCUCUGACACCGGUACCAUCCCACAAUCGCUCCUCAUCCAUAACAUCCUCAUUCUCUGACACCGGUACCACCCCAUAUACGCUCCUCAUCCAUAACAUCCUCAUUCUCUGACACUGGUACCAUCCCACAUACACUCCUCAUCCAUAACAUCCUCAUUCUCUGACACUGGUACCAUCCCAUAUACGCUCCUCAUCCAUAACAUCCUAAUUCUCUGACACUGGUACCAUCCCACAUACACUCCUCAUCCAUAACAUCCUCAUUCUCUGACACUGGUACCAUCCCAUAUACGCUCCUCAUCCAUAACAUCCUCAUUCUCUGACACUGGUAUCAUCUCACAUAUGCUCCUCAUCUUCAUCCCCAAUACACUCUCCAACAUCUCUCCUGUGAAGGAGAAAUUAAUGAUUAUUUGUCUCCCUCUGCUGUUUUUGUACCCCAACAGCAUUUAUUUCUGUUAAUGUUGAAUGGUCAAGUCAUGUUUGCAAAUGUGUACAUACUAAGUGCUGUUGUAUAUUUUACAUGUGUUUUGUGUGCAUUUAUAAUGUAGCCUACCUGUAAAAUUGAAACAAUUCAUUUGAAUAUCGUCACUUCACUGACAACACAUUAUCCACACACGAAACAUAUAUUUGACACAGAGAGAUAAUUUGUAUCAUUUUUUCAAAACGUUUCAGAAAGAGUAAAUAAAGAAAUAUUACAAAGGAA